GAGCCCUGUGCUCACUCCUCUCACCCAGUGGCCAGCAGCUCUUCUGAGCUACCAGAGCCCAGGUCCACAGAGACGGCCAGAGGGUCUUUCUCCUUCACCCACAUCACUGAAUGCACGCGCCUGAGUGAGAAUAAUGGAACCACAAAGUGCUGCCGGACCACUGCAUGUGUCCCUGCCUCAUCUUCAGAACCAGCCAUUUCAACAAGGAACCCUAGUUCCUUCUAUCAGAGAGUAAGAUCUUAGGAACUACGAUCUGCUGUCAGAUUUUCUUCACCUCUCGGUCUUUUACAUUGAUUGGGCGAGGAAAUAGCUGGGUGUGUUCCCACCUGCUCGCAUGCACAUACUUAUGAAUAUUUCCACAGGCAUCCGGCCUGUGUGACUUAGCCAAGAUAUGAGCUCACACAGGUGUGCCCACCUCUGCUCCUUGAACACAGUGGACCUUCCAGUCUUGCCUGCUUGCGGCUUCUACCUCCCUUUUCAACGGUCAGAAACCCACUCUCCAGGGCUCGGCAUGCAUUUACUUCAUUCCAGGAUAGAUCUGAACCAAUAUGGGGGCUGUCCACAUCCCAGCGUGAGAGGAAGUUACCCACACAAUUACCCUGAGACUCACUCUUUACUCAUUCCACAGUCAGGUCAACGCCUCCUUGCUCCCCACUUCCCAGAUGUGCUAUAUUCUUCUCUCACAGCCUGCCUUCCAUCAUAGACCUUUCUUCUCUCCAAACCACCUGAAGUGAGUUUUAAGAUUACGUCUUUUCAAUUUUGAGGUUAUAAUCAUUUCCCCUUCCCCUCUCUCCCUCCAAAUCCCCACGUACCCCUCCUUGCUCAGUUUCAAGUCUAUGGUCUCCCCCACCAUUCAUUGCUGUUAUAUACAUCUAUGUAUGCCUACAUACCUAUGUAUAUAUUCCUAAAUAUAACCCGAUUAAUCUGUA
rnacentral:lncRNA from 1 species